CCUUGCAGCAGCCAUCGUACGCCGCCGCCGCCAGCCCACAACGGAGUCCCGGCCGCCGGCUUCCCAUUGCUCUUCGCCUCCUUGGAAGGGCACCGGCAUGCAGAGGCAAGGAAUGCCGCUCCUCCUCCGACCAGCCAGCCAUAGCGGCGUCGUUCCUCUGACAUGCGAAGGGGCUCUCCUCUCCCACCGGUCGGUGCCUCGACUUGGACUCCUACAGCCGACACCUCCACUUCAGCUCGCACCGGCCGGCAUCCUCCGUCGCCAAAUCUUAACGACUUCGAGUUCCUCUGGCCGUCGUCAUGAACCUCCAAGCAGAUAAGCCACCCUUCAUGUGUAUCUCCCGUUAUAUCUCCUCUCUGUUCUGAUUUUCAGAAAGAAGGUUGAUUUGUGGCCCGUUUCCAGUAGGUAGAUGGGAUAGCAAUGGUCGUUCCUUGGUUGAAGGAUGCAAUGCAGCUCACUAAAUUCGAAGCUGUACUAUUUUGGACUACCUAGUUACCCAAGCAGGGGAGAUAAAGGAUGGAAGUUGGGUAGAAAGCGGCAUGAUUCUUGGCAAUACUCUUUACUUGGUAUUUGAUGAUUACUCUUUACUUGGUACAAAGUUCUUGAUGAUUUUAAUAUAGUCUGACCCUGCUGUAGAAAGAAGCUUACAUACAUGCCUGGAUGUGUUCGAGAUGCAUUGCAGUGUGUAUUACUCUUUAGUCGGUAUAAUGUUCUAGAUGAUUUUAGUAGUCUGGCCCUGCUGUAGAAAACAGUUUACAUACAUGCCUGGAUGUGUUCGAGAUGCAUUGCAGUGUGUACUCAUAGGUGGUCAUGAAGGGCGACUAAAAGUAAUCCAUCAUCACAGCAAGUUUCUGGAAUUCCAGGGAUCGAAAUCAGAUCGAGAUGCCAAUGUCCUGUAUGUUGCUUCAGUUAUAUGGCUUGAGCUGGUCAAUCUGCAAGAUGAUGCAAAAAAUUGCUUGCAGAUAGUCUGUAUAUAUGUGUACAGACAUGCAUGUUGUAUGUUUAUAUCAAUUUUGCAAAUUGACAUUUGUUCAAAUGCUUCUAAGUAGUGCUUCGUGAAGAUUCAAAGUAAAUCUAAAUUACUUUGUGUUGCCUAUCCUAUUACUUGAUUUUUUUGCUAACUAUGUGUAUGAGUAAAUUUCCAAGAUGAUGCAAAAAAAUUGCUUGCAGAUAGUCUGUAUGUGUACACACAUGCAUGUUGUAUGUUUAUAUUAACUUUGCAAUACUGAUGUUUGUUCAGAUUCUUCUAAGCAGUAUGCUCUAGCAGAACGAUGCUUCCCUUUCCUUACUGUUGUUGCUAAAUAUUUGUUUUAUGUGGCAUAUGAGGACUGAACAACAUCAGGCCAACGACCUCACCCUGGGAGUCCACUUCUUUACGGUCACUACAUCUGCCUUGACAAAUUAUCUGGAGUUGAGCUCCAGAGACGAAUCGGGAGGUGGACUUUGCUGGAGUUAUCAUGUGUUCUUGCAAUCAGAAUGCCUGGGGAUUAUAAGCCAAUAUACGAUUUGUUCAUUUUCUUUUAGAGGUAUGUGAACAUUGAUUCAUAUGAUUAGUUGGUACUUAAGAACAUGGAUACCCACACUUUCCUUGAUAGUCCAAAAGGUUCACAUUUUAAAUAUAGAUGUUAAGCUAUGAUGAGAACCUUAUUGACUCAGCCAUCGUAUUUUGUUUUAGGUAGAUAAUCAUUAGUUCAUAUUUCUGAACAAGGAAAGCCAUGGUGUCCAGAUGGCUCAAGCAGUUCUGAUAUUUGAUAUAGAUUUGAAGGACCAGGAGAACCUAAGUGGCUCAUUCCUAUACCACCAUUCCGAUAUAUACGGGGCAGUUCUUAAACGUGCAAAUGUUAAAGCCAUUAAAACACCCUCUUAGGUCCGAUACAUAAGCAACUGCCAUAUUUUGAGAGACUGAAUUUUACAAUGAUUUGCAUAGAUUCUUAUGAGGAUAAUCAUGAACUGCAUAAAGUUUUUUUUUGUAAAUAUUGAAUGGAAUAAGUAUUUUUAGGUUCAUUUAUAAUGAUAUAGUAUUUCUGUUUAAGCAGUGCCGAGUGUUAGAUGUUCCAUAUUUAAAUUAGCUUUCCCUAAAUAUAAAAUACUAGAAAGGUCUGAGUGGCGAGUGCUACUUCAUUGAAAUUUGAUUGUGCCUGCACAUUAUAAAAUACAAGUUAUGGUCCUGCAGGAUUGCCUCCCUUCUCUAGAGAUAAUUUGCUUAAUGUGUUCCAUGGUGCAAUUAAAUUGGAUACAAGUAUGCAAAAAAUAUCUUAGUAGUAAUAUAGAAAGCACCUGUCAUUCUAAUGUACUUCCACAUUUUACUAUUUAUGUUAAUUAGUACUCUGCAAUUAGCCUAAAAAUAGUACUAUAGGGAGAUGCAGGCAAGACCUAAUAUGUUGUCAUUUGAAAAUAAAAACUACCUACUUUCCAACUGUGGAUUUCAUUUGUACAUGUAAAAGAAACUAUCUUAGACAGAUAUAUGAUUCAUCAGGUUCAAUGAAAGUUAGCUUAAAUACCAUGUAUUUUUUUUGCACAAAGAUUAUUGCCUACUGUAUGCAUCCUCUUUACAUUUUUUAGUCUAUAGUGAAGUAGAAAAAAAUCAGUUCAGUAAUGCCUUUGCUCCAAACGAGCAAACAAUUGUUAUUAAUAAAAAUAAAUCACAGACUACUGAUUUCAUUUGUUUGCAGGAAAAACAUUGUAUUUUCACACUUAUGGAAAAUGAACUUUAAAUCACGAAAAAUGUUGAUUUUUUUACAAGAGAUCUUGAGGGUGAGAUAAUUUUCACCAAAUUCAGAGGAAUAGCUUAAGUACCAGGGCGACACAUGUGGUAAUUAACAUAACAUGGAUGUUGCAUUAUAAAGAAAUGAGUUCUAUCAUUUGUCAUGCCAUGGAAGUAUGGUUUGAAGUUUCCUUACUGUCAAGAUUUUUCUUCAACAUCUACAAGCUGGCUAGCAAAAUUAUUGCAACUAUAGUUCACAUCAGGUAUAAGGCGACAUGUAGGGCCAUCAUCUAUAUCCAUACAUCUUAAUCUCAUUUUCACUGACGGUUGCUUUGCUAACUUAGUUAAUGAUUAUUACUGAAUGUAGAAACCACAUGGAGCUUGUGGCGUUUUCUUCUUUCUGUUACUAUAUAUAUAUGUUCGGAGCAAUGUAAGGUUUCUUUUUGUGAAGUUCAUCGUGCUUAUGGUACAAUAUUUAGCCAUACAAUUUCUAUUAGAAACCAUCAUCAUGUAUGCCUUUUCUUUCACUACUAUUUGUACAGCAAACCAAUGGAUCAACUAACCACAAUCUUAGCAUGUGGUAUGCGUAAAUAUAAAUAGUGAUCUAAACACUCUUAUAUUUCUUUACGCCGGGAGUAGAAAACAUGCUUAGUACAAUGCCUUCUAACCAUGCAGUAGCAGUUCCCACCCAAUGCUACUGUUUUGUACACAGACGAGAAGUUUGUUUGAGAAAGAGGAGCAUGCUUCCUGCCUUUCAUCCAAUAUUAUAUAUUUCUAUUUCUUAUGUGGAACUAACAAUUCAUGUCUCUAGCUUCUACUACUUUAUCGUUUUAGACAAAAGCUUUUGUAACCAUGAUGCUGGUAUACUUGUGAUACGUACUACAUGUGCUACCACAUUAAUAGGGUGAUUUAAAUAAAAGUACCUGAAUUUAUAUUCUUCCACAUUCCGCCAAUAUUCAGUAACAAAGUUGUAUUUUUGUUUACAAACCAGUUCAUUCGUCGCAAGGAAAAAAAUCUACUUGCUGUCGGGAACCAAAGCAACAACAGAUCAAGUUACUUGGUCGGAAGAAAUUGUCAAGGGUCGCAGCUUACGCAUGAUUGGAAGUGGCAAUCUUUUGUCUAUCUCACCUAAGUUACAUGAUAUAAAAGAUGUAGAACAACCUAGAAUUUUGCGUCUCAACUAUGUGUCAUAUUUUCUUAUUAUCAUAUACUUUUUUUUGAGAUGGUCUUACUAUUAUCUUUGUAAUGCUUAUAAUUCACAAGUGAUAGAUUCUGAGAUGUACUACUGAUGUGA